GACAGAGGUGCCGAGCGUUAGGCGGAAUCACUGGGCUUAAAGCGUGUGUAGGCGGAGGCCUAAGUACCUUGUGAAAUCCCACGGCUUAACCGUGGAACUGCUUGGUAUACUGGGUCUCUUGAGCCAUCCAGGGGCUACUGGAACAAACGGUGGAGCGGUGAAAUGCGUAGAGAUUGGAAAGAACACCGAUGGCGAAGGCACUUUACUGGGCUAUUACUAACACUCAGAGACGAAAGCUAGGGUAGCAAAUGGG
rnacentral:rRNA from 1 species